rnacentral:miRNA from 12 species
GCGGUGCGGAGCGGAGCGGAGCGGAGCGGAGCUCCCUCCCGCCGGCGGCCCCGACUCCCGGGACGCUGCCAGCCCUUGUUGCCGGCGCCGGGACGGCCCCGCUAAGGGC